rnacentral:lncRNA from 1 species
UUCCCACCAUAGUUAUGACGGCGGCGACCGUCAUGGUGAUGAUGAUGUGAAAAAAAAAAUAACGAUAAGGGAAAACCUUACCUGCGUCCGAUCUUAUCAACCGGCCCGGGUGAUCAUGCCCGGGCAAGUCUGGCUGUUAGGAAAAUGACCUGGCAGAUGUCAAGGCUCAGACGGCAGCCCAGAGCAGGGUGAGCUGCGCAGGGUCCCGGGAAGACGCCGUCUGUAAACUGCAUCGAGGCAGCGUUUCGAGACUUUCCUAGCCCCAAGAGAAAGCCUUCGAAGGAGAUCACAGUACACGUCAGCCUCCUCUGGAAAAAGCUUCCUGCCGACCUCUGAGCAAAUGGAUUUAUUGGAGCCACAACUGUCACUUGCCAGGUGAAUUUCAACUCA